UUCCCAGCUGUCCCUCCAGGGGCAUAAGCUGGGUAGCCAUGUGCGGGAGGGAUAACCGCUGAAAGCAUCUAAGCGGGAAACCCGCCCCAAGAUGAGGCCUCCCACGGUGUGAAGCCGGUAAGGACCCGGGAAGACGACCCGGUGGAUGGGCCGGAGGUGUAAGCGCCGCGAGGCGUUGAGCUGACCGGUCCCAAUCGUCCGAGGUCUUGACCCUU
rnacentral:rRNA from 1 species